UGGAAGACUUGUGAUUUUGUUGUU
rnacentral:ncRNA from 11 species